rnacentral:rRNA from 1 species
UACGGAGGGGGCUAGCGUUGUUCGGAAUUACUGGGCGUAAAGCGCACGUAGGCGGCUUUGUAAGUUAGAGGUGAAAUCCUGGAGCUCAACUCCAGAACUGCCUUUGAUACUGGCGAUCUUGAGUCCGGGAGAGGUGAGUGGAACUGCGAGUGUAGAGGUGAAAUUCGUAGAUAUUCGCAAGAACACCAGUGGCGAAGGCGGCUCACUGGCCCGGUACUGACGCUGAGGUGCGAAAGCGUGGGGAGCAAACAGG